ensembl:lncRNA
GGGACACUCUGGGUCUCGGAGGAGCGUGAUCCAGGUUGGAACGCAACCCAGACUGUCAACGAAACACGUUCCUGCGAGCUAAAGAAUCCCUUCCGAGCCCUCAUUGCGACCACCAAACCAGCCAAUCCCUCGUGGGUUCCCUCAGCCAACACUUGUGUGUGUGAAAAGAUCAAAUGCCCCCAUUGCAUCCAGAGCACAGACGUCCCUCAAAUCCUAGGCUCUCCAUUCUUCCCCGAGCAUCCUGGAUCCCUGGGCUUGGAGCUGCCUGUGAGGCUUCCAGCCCUCUGCUUGUCACCACUUCCCAGGUGGUUGGUGGCUCUGGGUGAACCCAGUGGAGCGGGCCGUUUGCGAGGAGGGCUGUUUGGACGCAAGCUGGGCGCGGGCAGGCUGGGCCGGGUCGCAGGGCAGGGCGCCCCUCGUCUCCUGCCUCCGCCUCUCGGUUCCGCACUGGUCCGAGUGAAGCCAGGGGGGCGGGGGGGAGCCGCGCUGACGUCACUGCGGGCCGUGCCCGCCCGAGAAGGCGGCGCUGAGCCGCUCAGAGCCGGGAGAAGCGGCGCGCCGCCAGGAACCUCCGCGCCACCGCCGCCGCGCCUGCCUCCAGCAGCUCUCGGCCACGCGACCGUGCGGUCAGCGGCGCUUGGAGGGCGGCCGGAGCUGGGCCUGAGCCUGGAGACUCGCCUGAUCCCGGGCGGCCGAACCACCAUCACCACAACGCCCCACCCCCGCCGUCGCCUUGUGGGGCCCCGGCCCCCUCCCGGGUCCAUUGUCCUGUGAAGGGAAGUGAUGGCACAGGCUCUGAUCAGCUCUUCUGGGAACAGACAGAGAAGUGAGAAUUCCUGCCAAAGCCACAGGAUGAACACAGAGCCAAGAACCUGAACCAGAAAAAUCCAGCAGGAAAGGAACCUGCACUAGCCGCCAUCCUGAGGCUGCUGUACAGGGAGCAAUCCUACCGCAGGGACUUGGCAGGAGACCAAGGACCUGCCCCCAGGUCCUCCUCGAGGGCCUCUGCCACCGACCUGCUUGUCUAGGAUCUCCUUCCUUUCUGCUUGUGCCACAUCUUUCAGGCCUGUUCUGGGUCUGAUGUGCUAUAGAACACUCUGUUCAGGCGCUUGGGAAACAGAGACUUCAUCACCAGCAUUUCCACCCCCAAAGAACUAGGCAGCACACUGGGAAGUUGCCAAAGGAAGGGACUCCAGCCUCCCAGGAGUUAACAACAUUUCUCCCCAGCUAUCCUCCCCUUGGUGCUCCUCUUCCUCCCUCCUCCUGCUCACAGCAGGCAGGGCCUGGAACCAGGAGCCAUGCUGCUGUGCUGUUGCCAGGGGAGCUGGGAGGCAGAUCGGAGCUAUGCAGGGAAAAGGCUCGGCCUGUCAGAGUGUCUGAGAUGAACCACCGCCAUCCCUGUGCAGCUGGGCUCCAUGUGUCUCAGGGCUCUUGUUCUGUGCCUGAGAACAGUGAAGCCCAGCGAGGUUCAAGGGCACACUCGCUAUUCAUCAGUCGGGGGUUCUUGACGGUCCUGCCUCUCCCAGGGAUGGGUUCCCCCCUUCCUCUUUCUCUCCCUCCUAUGAUACAUUCCUGGGUGCCUGUGGUGAGGACUGCACACCCCCUUCUCCACAGCCCCCCCAAACCCUGAAUCAACUCCUAUUAAGGAGGCCAGGCGGGACAGGGACAAUGGCUUCAAGAAAUCAUUCAGGCGGGACCUCAGUCACAUUCGCAUGCCCGUCACUCCCAGAGCCCCUGUAGAUCCCACUCUGCUGUGAUUCAGGGACCCUUGGGCCCCCAGCUUGCACAUGCCUAGACAGGAGCAGGCCACUAGGUGCUGCCCUACACAACAGGCCAGUGCAGUGUUUGUUCUCAGGGACCCUGGGGUCUCCAUCCCACUGGCUGGAUAGUGUGUGCAGUCAGUUGGAGAGCAGAAACUACAAUAUUUUCUGAAAUGUGGUAAUAUCAAGAUAUAAGAGGCACAUAUACGUGAUGACUAAUUUCACUUCAGAUAUACUGGAAAAGUUUGCUAAGAACAUGGACAAAGACCUGUGGUUGAGUAACGAGUCAUUUCAUUCCAUGGAAUAUUACACACCUGUAAGACUGUGGUAGAUCUACCUCUGCAUGCAGGCUGAUAGGGAAGGUUGUUAAUAUACUUAAGUGAAUAGAAUAAAGUACAAAACAGUCAAGUGUGUUCUUGUUUG